rnacentral:miRNA from 1 species
AAUUCAACUUGAGCAACUUUCCU